GCUGUCCUAUGCAGGGGGACAACAGUUGGAAACGGCUGCUAAUACCCCAUAAGCCGAGAGGUAAAGGAUUAUCCGGCAAAGGAGGCACUCGCGUCCUAUCAGCUAGUAGGUUGGGUAACGGCCGACCUAGGCGAAGACGGGUAGCCGGCCUGAGAGGGCGAACGGCCACACUGGAACUGAGAUACGGUCCAGACUCCUACGGGAGGCAGCAGUGGGGAAUAUUGGGCAAUGGGGGGAACCCUGACCCAGCGACGCCGCGUGGGUGAAGAAAUCCUUCGGGAUGUAAAGCCCUGUUGUAUGGGAAGAGUAGAAGACGGUACCAUACGAGGAAGCCCCGGCAAACUACGUGCCAGCAGCCGCGGUAAUACGUAGGGGGCAAGCGUUGUCCGGAAUUACUGGGCGUAAAGCGCACGCAGGCUGACUUAUAAGUCGGUAGUCUAAUGCGGAGGCUCAACUUCCGUUUAUCUAUCGAUACUGUAAGACUAGAGUAUGUGAGAGGGAAGUGGAAUUCCCGGUGUAGCGGUGAAAUGCGUAAAUAUCGGGAGGAACACCAGUGGCGAAGGCGACUUCCUGGCACAAUACUGACGCUCAUGUGCGAAAGCUAAGGUAGCGAACGGGAUUAGAUACCCCGGUAGUCCUAGCCGUAAACGAUGGAUACUA
rnacentral:rRNA from 1 species